UUCCUGGUGGCUCAGUGGUAGAGUAUCUACCUGUCAGUAGAGGAGAUGCAGGUUCAAUCCCUGGGCUGGAAA
rnacentral:tRNA from 1 species